CAAGUCAUGAAUGACGAAAUCUAAUAGACCAAAGAAGAAACCCUGAGAGCUACGACAAAGAUAAAGAGAUAGGAUGGAAAAAUAAAAUGGGCAUUAUUAACCUAAAGGUGCACAUAUAACAGGCACAUGCCGUUCAAGGUAAUUCAGACAUCAUCAAAUGCAAGAUAAGAUCAUGUUAAGUGUUCAUUACGCCACAAAAACACUUCUAGAUAAUUCAAGGCUCUUUCUCAUAUCAAUAAGUGAGUCGGCAAGAUCAUAUACAAGACUGACAAGUAGAUAAAAAAGAUUUUAGAAAUUUACUAAAAAACCUGAGUUUGCCUUGCAGAUGAAGGCAAUGGCAGUAUUGGAGGUUGUGCUUCUGAUGUAACUGGAGCAGAUUGUUCCAACCUAGCUGAUGAUGAUGCCUGAACCACCUCAACAUCUUUAUCCACGUUGUUAGAGGGUGGUGACAAAGAAACUGCAGCAGAUCCAGACUGCAGCAGUUGGCCAGGAGUAACCAAUACAGGUUUUGGCUGAUCUUGACUAACGGAACUAGAAACACCAGCAACAGGACCAGAUGUUAAUUGUGCUGUCUGCGGUACAGAAAUGGGACCAGUAACUACACUAGGCUUGUCAGACAGUGGAAGGCCAGCACUUGUAUCGGUAACUCUAGUACUUGGUACAGAAAAGGGAAGCAAAUUAGUAUCCUGAGGACGGGCAGGAGGCACAGAAAUAGGAGCCUUGUUCGAAAACAAAGGAGGUGCCAUAUCUGAAGCUAGGGAAGGAGAUGGUGCUGAUUGCAGGCCUGAAGACAGCGUCAUAGGUAGACUAGUAAAAGGCAAAGAACUGGGUGCUGGACUUUGAGAACUACUGCUAAAAGGAAACAAUGAAGAGGGUGGUUCCGGCAAGCUUGAGCCCUGAAAAGUUGAUGAACCAGCAGGUGUAGGGGCAUUAAAGUUAGGAUAUUGCAAGGGUUGCUGUAGAGAGCUGGGCAUUGGCAGUCCAUGAGGGGGUCGAAUCAGAGACUGUUGAUGCAACUGGGGAAGACCAUUGGGAGGUGGUGAGUAGAAUCCUUGCCAAUACAUUGGCGGUUGUGGCGAUGCUCCCCAAGAAUUAAGAUUUCCACCAGGCUGAUACAAAGGCAUUGAGUUUUGGAAUCCCAUCCCAGGUUGUCCAUUAUGAGAACUAAUGUCAGGCAGAGGAUUGCUCGCUGCAGGAGGCAAGCUACUCGAUGUAGGCAUAGGGCUAGGGUAGUGAGACUGCAAAACAAGAAGAGGAUACAUCAAAGUGAGACUAAGGUCGCAAACAAGAUCUCUCUAUAACAUUUCCACAAUUCACCUGGAUGAUAGCAGGGUCAUUGUUUAUAGUAGGUGGAGCUGGAGGUUGUACAGGUGGAGAGGCUUUGACUUGCAAAUCCUGCCAACAGCAAGAAGAAUCAGUGUGCACAAACAGUGAUAAUAACAUCAUAGCAUAAGCACAAUCCUGAUGGAUACCUUGAUAUCGGUUCCACGGAACAAUAUGUACUCAUAAACUUUGUCACUAGGAGGAACUUGAGGACCAUCUUUCUUCCUUCCUUCGGUUCCAAACGAUCGGACUACAAUACAUUCAAAAUUAAAGGCAUCAGGAAAUCUCAAUCUCACUAGACCUAAGCUCUCAUUUCAAAGCAAUCCUGCGACUUAAUCGAAACGAAAUCGUACCGUUCUGGAGUCCGAUACCAAGGUAAUUCAGACAUCAUCAAAUGCAAGAUAAGAUCAUGUUAAGUGUUCAUUACGCCACAAAAACACUUCUAGAUAAUUCAAGGCUCUUUCUCAUAUCAAUAAGUGAGUCGGCAAGAUCAUAUACAAGACUGACAAGUAGAUAAAAAAGAUUUUAGAAAUUUACUAAAAAACCUGAGUUUGCCUUGCAGAUGAAGGCAAUGGCAGUAUUGGAGGUUGUGCUUCUGAUGUAACUGGAGCAGAUUGUUCCAACCUAGCUGAUGAUGAUGCCUGAACCACCUCAACAUCUUUAUCCACGUUGUUAGAGGGUGGUGACAAAGAAACUGCAGCAGAUCCAGACUGCAGCAGUUGGCCAGGAGUAACCAAUACAGGUUUUGGCUGAUCUUGACUAACGGAACUAGAAACACCAGCAACAGGACCAGAUGUUAAUUGUGCUGUCUGCGGUACAGAAAUGGGACCAGUAACUACACUAGGCUUGUCAGACAGUGGAAGGCCAGCACUUGUAUCGGUAACUCUAGUACUUGGUACAGAAAAGGGAAGCAAAUUAGUAUCCUGAGGACGGGCAGGAGGCACAGAAAUAGGAGCCUUGUUCGAAAACAAAGGAGGUGCCAUAUCUGAAGCUAGGGAAGGAGAUGGUGCUGAUUGCAGGCCUGAAGACAGCGUCAUAGGUAGACUAGUAAAAGGCAAAGAACUGGGUGCUGGACUUUGAGAACUACUGCUAAAAGGAAACAAUGAAGAGGGUGGUUCCGGCAAGCUUGAGCCCUGAAAAGUUGAUGAACCAGCAGGUGUAGGGGCAUUAAAGUUAGGAUAUUGCAAGGGUUGCUGUAGAGAGCUGGGCAUUGGCAGUCCAUGAGGGGGUCGAAUCAGAGACUGUUGAUGCAACUGGGGAAGACCAUUGGGAGGUGGUGAGUAGAAUCCUUGCCAAUACAUUGGCGGUUGUGGCGAUGCUCCCCAAGAAUUAAGAUUUCCACCAGGCUGAUACAAAGGCAUUGAGUUUUGGAAUCCCAUCCCAGGUUGUCCAUUAUGAGAACUAAUGUCAGGCAGAGGAUUGCUCGCUGCAGGAGGCAAGCUACUCGAUGUAGGCAUAGGGCUAGGGUAGUGAGACUGCAAAACAAGAAGAGGAUACAUCAAAGUGAG
rnacentral:lncRNA from 1 species